rnacentral:misc_RNA from 1 species
GAUGAAGAACGCAGCGAAAUGCGAUAAGUAGUGUGAAUUGCAGAAUUCAGUGAAUCAUCGAAUCUUUGAACGCACAUUGCGCCCUUUGGUAUUCCUUAGGGCAUGCCUGUUCGAGCGUCAUUUAAACCUUCAAGCUAAGCUUGGUGUUGGGUGACUGUCCGCUUCACGGCGGACUCGCCUCAAAAUUAUUGGCGGCCGGUACAUUGGCUUCGAGCGCAGCAGAAACGCGAACUCGGGCCCGUCGUAUUGUCUCCCAGAAGCUAUCUUCACAAUUUUGACCUCGGAUCAGGUAGGGAUACCCGCUGAACUUAAGCAUAUCAAUAAGCGGAGGA